AGUGAACGCUGGCGGUAGGCCUAACACAUGCAAGUCGAACGGCAGCACAGGAGAGCUUGCUCUCUAGGUGGCGAGUGGCGGACGGGUGAGGAAUACAUCGGAAUCUGCCCAGUCGUGGGGGAUAACGUAGGGAAACUUACGCUAAUACCGCAUACGACCUUCGGGUGAAAGAGGGGGAUCGCAAGACCUCUCGCGAUUGGAUGAGCCGAUGUCGGAUUAGCUAGUUAGCGGGGUAAUGGCCCACCAAGGCGACGAUCCGUAGCUGGUCUGAGAGGAUGAUCAGCCACACUGGAACUGAGACACGGUCCAGACUCCUACGGGAGGCAGCAGUGGGGAAUAUUGGACAAUGGGCGCAAGCCUGAUCCAGCCAUACCGCGUCGGUGAAGAAGGCCUUCGGGUUGUAAAGCCCUUUUGUUGGGAAAGAAAUCUUUCAGGCUAAUACCCUGGGAGGAUGACGGUACCCAAAGAAUAAGCACCGGCUAACUUCGUG
rnacentral:rRNA from 1 species